UAGGGAAUCUUCGGCAAUGGACGGAAGUCUGACCGAGCAACGCCGCGUGAGUGAAGAAGGUUUUCGGAUCGUAAAGCUCUGUUGUUAGAGAAGAACGUUGGUAGGAGCGGAAAAUCUACCAAGUGACGGUAACUAACCAGAAAGGGACGGCUAACUACGUGCCAGCAGCCGCGGUAAUACGUAGGUCCCGAGCGUUGUCCGGAUUUAUUGGGCGUAAAGCGAGCGCAGGCGGUUCUUUAAGUCUGAAGUUAAAGGCAGUGGCUUAACCAUUGUACGCUUUGGAAACUGGAGGACUUGAGUGCAGAAGGGGAGAGUGGAAUUCCAUGUGUAGCGGUGAAAUGCGUAGAUAUAUGGAGGAUCACCGGUGGCGAAAGCGGCUCUCUGGUCUGUAACUGACGCUGAGGCUCGAAAGCGUUGGGAGCAAACAGG
rnacentral:rRNA from 1 species